rnacentral:rRNA from 1 species
GACGAACGCUGGCGGCGUGCUUAACACAUGCAAGUCGAGCGGUAAGGCCCUUUCGGGGGUACGACGAGCGGCGAACGGGUGAGUAACACGUGGGUGACCUGCCCUCAGCUCUGGGAUAAAGCCCGGGAAACUGGGUCUAAUACCGGAUAUGACUUCAUGACGCAUGUUGUGGAGUGGAAAGCCUUGUGCGGCUGAGGAUGGGCCCGCGGCCUAUCAGCUUGUUGGUGGGGUGAUGGCCUACCAAGGCGACGACGGGUAGCCGGCCUGAGAGGGCGACCGGCCACACUGGGACUGAGAUACGGCCCAGACUCCUACGGGAGGCAGCAGUGGGGAAUCUUGCGCAAUGGGCGAAAGCCUGACGCAGCGACGCCGCGUGGGGAUGACGGCCUCGGUC